rnacentral:rRNA from 1 species
GGGAACCCCCGGACAGUUCAUGAUAUCGUGAGUCUAGUCCAGACUCAUUCCUCUAGUAUCGUUUUUCUUUGUGAAACUAGGCAGCCAAAAAAUAAAAUGAAGAGGUACCGUGCUAGGUUAGGCUUAAGUGGUUUUGAUGCUUGUGAUAGCGUUGGUCGUAGUGGUGGUCUUGCUUUGUACUGGCAUGAGUCGUUGAUCGUUGAUGUAAAAGAUAUUAAUGAAAGAUAUAUUGAUGCAUAUGUGACUGCGUCGGCGGGUGAGCCACCCUGGAGGCUGACCUGCGUCUACGGUGAGCCACGGACGGAGGACCGUCAUCACAUGUGGUCCCUCCUCCGUGAUCUUCACCAGCAAGCUGACAUGCCUUGGGUAGUGGCUGGUGACUUUAACGAGGCCAUGUGGAGCUUCGAGCAUUUCUCCGAAAUGCCACGCUCGGCAGGUCAGAUGAUUGAUUUUCGUGAUGUUCUUGAGGUUUGUGGUUUGGGUGAUCUUGGUUUUGCAGGCCUGCCUUACACUUAUGAUAACCGUCGUGCAGGUCGGGCAAAUGUUAAAGUUCGACUUGAUCGUGCCGUGGCUAACAACACUUGGCGUGACAUGUUCUCUAAGGCCAAGGUGCAGACCUUGUGGCGCCGAGUUCAGACCACUUUGCCAUCCUGCUAUGAUGCGUUCUGGAGGAGCCCGUGCAGCAGUCUGGCAGGCGCUGCCGGCAAUAUGAGGUGA